rnacentral:rRNA from 1 species
UACGAAGGGUGCAAGCGUUGUUCGGAUUUACUGGGCGUAAAGCGUCUGUAGGUGGUGCGUUAAGAGGGCGGUGAAAUCCCAGGGCCUAACCCUGGAACUGCCGUUCUGACUGGCGCGCUGGAGCGCAAUAGAGGUGGAUGGAAUAUACGGUGUAGAGGUGACAUUCGUAGAUAUCGUAUAGAACACCAAUGGCGAAGGCAGUCCACUGGAUUGUCGCUGACACUGAGGGACGAAAGCGUGGGUAGCAAACAGA